GACGAACGCUGGCGGCGUGCCUAAUACAUGCAAGUCGAACGGUUUAGUUCCAAGAGGCUUGCCUUUUGGAACUAGACAGUGGCGGACGGGUGAGUAACACGUAGGCAACCUACCUGUCAAACCGGGAUAACCUCGGGAAACCGAAGCUAAACCCGGAUAAGCUCCUUUUUCGCAUGAAGGGGGAGUGAAAAGGUGCGGCCUGAUGACAGAUGGGCCUGCGGCGCAUUAGCUAGUAGGUAGGGUAACGGCCUACCUAGGCGAUGAUGCGUAGCCGACCUGAGAGGGCGUACGGCCACACUGGGACUGAGAUACGGCCCAGACUCCUACGGGAGGCAGCAGUAGGGAAUCUUCGGCAAUGGGCGAAAGCCUGACCGAGCAACGCCGCGUGAGUGAGGAAGGCCUUCGGGUUGUAAAACUCUGUUGUUUGGGAAGAAGGGAAAGGGUAGGACCCUUAGGUGACGGUACCAAACGAGAAAGCCCCGGCUAACUACGUG
rnacentral:rRNA from 1 species